GGCUCUGUGGCGCAAUGGAUAGCGCAUUGGACUUCUAGAUAAAUGAAGGCAUUCAAAGGUUGUGGGUUCGAGUCCCACCAGAGUCG
rfam:Rattus norvegicus chromosome 1, whole genome shotgun sequence.